UAGCAAUAUUCUGAAGUCGGAGCGGCGCAAGGGUGCGUAACACGUGGGUAAUCUGCCAUGAAGUUUGGAAUAACUCGCUGAAAGGCGAGCUAAUGCCGGAUGUGACAAUUAGGAGGCAUCUUCCGAUUGUCAAAGCUGGGGACCGUAAGGCCUGGCGCUUCAUGAUGAGCCCGCGGCCUAUCAGCUAGUUGGUGAGGUAACGGCUCACCAAGGCUAAGACGGGUAGCUGGUCUGAGAGGACGACCAGCCACACUGGAACUGAGACACGGUCCAGACACCUACGGGUGGCAGCAGUCGAGAAUUUUUCACAAUGGGGGCAACCCUGAUGGAGCGACGCCGCGUGGGGGAUGAAUGGCUUCGGCCCGUAAACCCCUGUCAUUUGCGAUCAAACGUUAUUAUUUAAAAGAUGAUGACCUGAUAGUAGCGAAAGAGGAAGGGACGGCUAACUCUGUGCCAGCAGCCGCGGUAAUACAGAGGUCCCAAGCGUUGUUCGGAUUCACUGGGCGUAAAGGGUGCGUAGGUGGUCAGGUAAGUCGGAUGUGAAAUCUCGGAGCUCAACUCCGAAACUGCAUUGGAAACUACCUGGCUCGAGGAAUGGAGGGGGGACUGGAAUUCACGGUGUAGCA
rnacentral:rRNA from 1 species